CCUACGGGAGGCAGCAGUGAGGAAUAUUGGGCAAUGGGCGCAAGCCUGACCCAGCAACGCCGCGUGAAGGAAGAAGGCUUUCGGGUUGUAAACUUCUUUUCUCAGGGAAGAAGAAAGUGACGGUACCUUAGGAAUAAGCCUCGGCUAACUACGUGCCAGCAGCCGCGGCAAGACGGAGGAGGCAAGCGUUAUCCGGAUUGACUGGGCGUAAAGGGUGAGUAGGUGGUUUGGCAAGUUGGUAGCGUAAUUCCGGGGCUCAACCUCGGCACUACCACCAAAACUGUUGGACUUGAGUGCAGGAGGGGUAAAUGGAAUUCGUAGUGUAGCGGUGGAAUGCGUAGAUAUUAGGAGGAACACCAGUGGCGAAGGCGAUUUGCUGGACUGUAACUGACGCUGAGGCACGAAAGCGUGGGGAGCAAACAGGAUUAGAUACCCGUGUAGUC
rnacentral:rRNA from 1 species